AGAUAAGAAAAAAGGAAAAAUUUUCAGACGGUGAGGUUUGAUAGACACUGGAAUGUGUAUGUAGGAAAGCUUGUGGAAUUUCCUUCUCUUGAGGUCUUUUAAAAAUAGGACAGCAUCUCGUCUGUUUGAAGGAUGGACUCUAUUUGACCUCUAAAGUAUCUACUAAAUCCAGGAGGUAAAUCGCACCUUAAAAGAAAAUAGAGCUACAGUGAUGGUGGGUAGCUUGAGUAAUGAAAAUAAGGACCAGUAUCCCCAACUGGAAGAGGUCCUCUGGGUUUAAUUUCCUCUCAGGAAGUUUACCUUUAGAAGUACAAAUGUGAGGUCAAACUUCGGGUUUCCAGAAAUGGUAACGUCCUUCACUGUCUGAGCACCCAGACAACACACAAUGAAACGUCCUAUUCUGUGGACAUGGGUAAGGAUUAAAAUGCUGUAGCUCUUUAUUCUUUUUAUG
rnacentral:lncRNA from 1 species